GACGAACGCUGGCGGCAUGCCUAAUACAUGCAAGUCGAGCGGACUUGAAGAGAAGCUUGCUUCUCGGAUGGUUAGCGGCGGACGGGUGAGUAACACGUAGGCAACCUGCCCUCAAGCUUGGGACAACUGCCGGAAACGGUAGCUAAUACCGAAUACUUGUUUUCUUCGCCUGAAGGAAACUGGAAAGACGGAGCAAUCUGUCACUUGGGGAUGGGCCUGCGGCGCAUUAGCUAGUUGGUGAGGUAACGGCUCACCAAGGCGACGAUGCGUAGCCGACCUGAGAGGGUGAUCGGCCACACUGGGACUGAGACACGGCCCAGACUCCUACGGGAGGCAGCAGUAGGGAAUCUUCCGCAAUGGGCGAAAGCCUGACGGAGCAAUGCCGCGUGAGUGAUGAAGGUUUUCGGAUCGUAAAGCUCUGUUGCCAGGGAAGAACGCUUGAGAGAGUAACUGCUCUCAAGGUGACGGUACCUGAGAAGAAAGCCCCGGCUAACUACGUGCCAGCAGCCGCGGUAAUACGUAGGGGGCAAGCGUUGUCCGGAAUUAUUGGGCGUAAAGCGCGCGCAGGCGGUCAUGUAAGUCUGGUGUUUAAUCCCGGGGCUCAACCCCGGAUCGCACUGGAAACUGCGUGACUUGAGUGCAGAAGAGGAGAGUGGAAUUCCACGUGUAGCGGUGAAAUGCGUAGAGAUGUGGAGGAACACCAGUGGCGAAGGCGACUCUCUGGGCUGUAACUGACGCUGAGGCGCGAAAGCGUGGGGAGCAAACAGGAUUAGAUACCCUGGUAGUCCACGCCGUAAACGAUGAGUGCUAGGUGUUAGGGGUUUCGAUACCCUUGGUGCCGAAGUUAACACAUUAAGCACUCCGCCUGGGGAGUACGGUCGCAAGACUGAACUCAAAGGAAUUGACGGGGCCCGCACAAGCGUGGAGCAUGUGGUUUAAUUCGAAGCAACGCGAGAACCUUACAAGGUCUUGACAUCUCACUAACGAGGGCAGAG
rnacentral:rRNA from 1 species